rnacentral:lncRNA from 10 species
AGGAGGCAGACGACACACACACUAGCCAGCCACUCUCUCCAAGGCAAGGGGAGGGGGACAAAAAGCAAUUUUGAGAUUUGUACAGUGCUUGCCAGGUCCUUCAAAAAUGACUACCGGCCGCCCAUGGCUCUUGCACAGCGGGUGGGAGGAAGAGUCCUUGUAAUCCACCUCUCCCAAGGAACUCCUGCGCGAGGUUUCAGAUUCCCCGCCUGCAGGCUAUGGCUGACUUCCCCGUAUCCUGUGUGACGUGGGAUGUGUGGCUUCGCGCAGCUUCCCGAUGGAUGAUCCAACAGAUGUCAUCUUGCACUGUAGUGAUAGUCUUGUUGGGACCACAUGAAGUGCAGCUGUAAAACAGCCCAGCACCUCACGCUCAGGAAGGGUGUUUCUGAAGACUGAUAAAGCCCCUUCAGUGAAUGGCGCCAGGGCACAGCUGUCCACGACAAAGUGAGGAUGGCCAGAUAAGAAUAGCUCCAGUCUGCAGCUCCCAGCAUGAUCCACGCAGAAGAUGGGUGAUUUCUGCAUUUCCAACUGAGGUCUUAGCAAAUGGCACACCAGGAGAUUAUAUCCCGCACAUGGCUCGGUGGAUCCCACGCCUAUGGAGUCUUGCUCACUGCUAGUGCAGCAGUCUGAGAUCAACCUGUGAGGCAGCAGCCUAGCAGGGGAAGGGGCGUCUGCCAUUGCUGCAGCUUGACCUCCGCUGGUGAUACCCAGGCAAACAGGGUCUGGCAUGGACCUUCAGCAAACUCCAACCGACCUGCAGCUGAGGGACCUGUUAGAAGGAAAACUAACAAACAGAAAGGAAUAGCAUCAACAUCAACAGAAAGGACAUCCACACCAAAACCCCAUCUGUAGGUCACUAACAUCAAAGACCAAAGAGAGAUAAAACCACAAAGGUGGGGAGAAACCAGAGCAGAAAAGCUGAAAAUUCUAAAAACCAGAGCACCUCUUCUCCUUCAAAGGAUCGCAGCUCCUCACCAGCAAUGGAACAAAGCUGGAUGGAGAAUGAUUUUGAUGAGCUGAAGGCUUCAGAAGGUUGGUAAUAACAAACUUCUCUGAGCUAAAGGAGGAGGAUGUUUGAAACCAUUACAAGGAAGCUAAACACCUUGAAAAAAGAUUAGACGAAGGGCUAACUAGAAUAAGCAGUGUAGAGAAGACCUUAAAUGACGUGAUGGAGCUGAAAACCAUGGCAUGAGAACUAUGUGUUGCAUGCACAAGUUUCAAUAGCCAAUUCGAUCAAGUGGAACAAAGGGUAUCAGUGAUUGAUGAUCAAAUUAAUGAAAUAAAGGGUGAAGAGAAGUUUAGAGAAAAAAGAGUAAAAAGAAAUGAACAAAGCCUCCAAGAAAUACAAGACUACGUGAAAAGACCAAAUCUACAUUUGAUUGGUAUACCUGAAAGUGAUGGGGAGAAUGGAACCAAGUUGGAAAACACUCUUCAGGAUAUUAUCCAGGAGAACUUCCCCAACCUAGCAAGGCAGGUCAACAUUCAAAUUCAGGAAAUACAGAGAACACCACAAAGAUACUCCUUGAGAAGAGCAGCCUCAAGACACAUAAUCAUCAGAUUCACCAAGGUUGAAAUGAAGGAAAAAAUGUUAAGGCCAGCCAGAGAGAAAGGUCGGGUUACCCACAAAGGGAAGCCCAUCAGAUUAACAGGAGAUCUCUCAGCAGAAACUCUACAAGCCAGAAGAGAGUGGGGGCCGAUAUUUAACAUUCUUAAAGAAAAGAAUUUUCAACCCAGAAUCACAUAUCCAGCCAAACUAAGUUUCAUAAGUGAAGGAGAAAUAAAAUCCUUUACAGACAAGCAAAUGCUGAGAGAUUUUGUCACCACCAGGCCUACCUUACAAGAGCUCCUGAAAGAAGCACUAAACAUGGAAAGGAACAACCAGUACCAGCCACUGCAAAAUCAUGCCAAAUUGUAAAGACCAUCGAUGCUAGGAAGAAACUAUAUCAACUAACGGGCAAAAUAACCAGUUAACAUCAUAAUGACAGGAUCAAAUUCACAUAUAAUAAUAUUAACCUUAAAAGUAAAUGGGCUAAAUGCGCGAAUUAAAAGACACAGACUGGCAAAUUGGAUAAAGAGUCAAGACCCAUUAGUGUGCUGUAUUCAGGAGACCCAUCUCAUGUGCAGAGACACACAUAGGCUCAAAAUAAAGGGAUGGAGGGAGAUCUACCAAGCAAAUUGAA